rnacentral:other from 1 species
GUUUCCCUGCGCUGUUUGUGAUCAGCGGAGUAUUGAGCCAACUCUCAUUGAUAGGGUGACUUCCCUGCCGCAUGCUGGAGAACUUCAUUGAUUUCCUAACUGCGGUAUGAGUCGCCCACCUAUUUUAUAGGUUUAAUCAUUGCGUUGACACGGCAGGGCGGGGAUUUU